GGAGGAUCAUUAUCGUAGGGCUUCGGCCCUGUCGAGAUAGAACCCUUGCCUUUUUGAGUACCUUUCGUUUCCUCGGCAGGCUCGCCUGCCAAUGGGGACCACAAAAAACACUUUGCAGUACCUGUAACAGUCUGAACAAACAAACAAAAAUUAAAACUUUCAACAACGGAUCUCUUGGUUCUGGCAUCGAUGAAGAACGCAGCGAAAUGCGAUAAGUAGUGUGAAUUGCAGAAUUCAGUGAAUCAUCGAAUCUUUGAACGCACAUUGCGCCCUUUGGUAUUCCUUAGGGCAUGCCUGUUCGAGCGUCAUUUAAACCUUCAAGCUAAGCUUGGUGUUGGGUGACUGUCCGCUUCACGGCGGACUCGCCUCAAAAUUAUUGGCGGCCGGUACAUUGGCUUCGAGCGCAGCAGAAACGCGAAUUCGGGCCCGUCGUAUUGGCUCCCAGAAGCUAUCUUCACAAUUUUGACCUCGGAUCAGGUAGGGAUACCCGCUGAACUUAAGCAUAUCAAUAAGCGGAGA
rnacentral:rRNA from 1 species